AUUGAACGCUGGCGGCAGGCUUAACACAUGCAAGUCGAGCGGAGAGAAGUAGCUUGCUACUGAUCUUAGCGGCGGACGGGUGAGUAAUGCUUAGGAAUCUGCCUAUUAGUGGGGGACAACAUUUCGAAAGGAAUGCUAAUACCGCAUACGUCCUACGGGAGAAAGCAGGGGAUCUUCGGACCUUGCGCUAAUAGAUGAGCCUAAGUCGGAUUAGCUAGGUGGUGGGGUAAAGGCCUACCAAGGCGACGAUCUGUAGCGGGUCUGAGCGGAGGAUCCGCCACACUGGGACUGAGACACGGCCCAGACUCCUACGGGAGGCAGCAGUGGGGAAUAUUGGACAAUGGGCGGAAGCCUGAUCCAGCCAUGCCGCGUGUGUGAAGAAGGCCUUAUGGUUGUAAAGCACUUUAAGCGAGGAGGAGGCUACUUUAGUUAAUACCUAGAGAUAGUGGACGUUACUCGCAGAAUAAGCACCGGCUAACUCUGUGCCAGCCGCCGCAGUAAGAC
rnacentral:rRNA from 1 species